UCUUCCGUAGUAUAAUGGUCAGUAUGUGAGCUUGUCAUCUCCAUCUGGAGAUAUCAUCGCUCGAGACCCGGGUUCAAUUCCCGGCGGGAGAG
rnacentral:tRNA from 1 species